AGAGUUUGAUCCUGGCUCAGGACGAACGCUGGCGGCGCGCCUAACACAUGCAAGUCGAACGGAGCUUAGAGAGCUUGCUUUUUAAGCUUAGUGGCGAACGGGUGAGUAACGCGUGAGUAACCUGCCCUAGAGUGGGGGACAACAGUUGGAAACGACUGCUAAUACCGCAUAAGCCCACGGUACCGCAUGGUACUGAGGGAAAAGGAUUUAUUCGCUUUAGGAUGGACUCGCGUCCAAUUAGCUAGUUGGUGAGGUAACGGCCCACCAAGGCGACGAUUGGUAGCCGGACUGAGAGGUUGAACGGCCACAUUGGGACUGAGACACGGCCCAGACUCCUACGGGAGGCAGCAGUGGGGGAUAUUGCACAAUGGGGGAAACCCUGAUGCAGCGACGCCGCGUGGAGGAAGAAGGUUUUCGGAUUGUAAACUCCUGUCGUUAGGGACGAUAAUGACGGUACCUAACAAGAAAGCACCGGCUAACUACGUGCCAGCAGCCGCGGUAAAACGUAGGGUGCAAGCGUUGUCCGGAAUUACUGGGUGUAAAGGGAGCGCAGGCGGACCGGCAAGUUGGAAGUGAAAUCCAUGGGCUCAACCCGUGAAUUGCUUUCAAAACUGCUGGCCUUGAGUAGUGCAGAGGUAGGUGGAAUUCCCGGUGUAGCGGUGGAAUGCGUAGAUAUCGGGAGGAACACCAGUGGCGAAGGCGACCUACUGGGCACCAACUGACGCUGAGGCUCGAAAGCAUGGGUAGCAAACAGGAUUAGAUACCCUGGUAGUCCAUGCCGUAAACGAUGAUUACUAGGUGUUGGAGGAUUGACCCCUUCAGUGCCGCAGUUAACACAAUAAGUAAUCCACCUGGGGAGUACGACCGCAAGGUUGAAACUCAAAGGAAUUGACGGGGGCCCGCAC
rnacentral:rRNA from 1 species